rnacentral:rRNA from 1 species
GACGAACGCUGGCGGCGUGCCUAAUACAUGCAAGUCGAGCGAGACUCUUCGGAGUCUAGCGGCGGACGGGUGAGUAACACGUGGGCAACCUGCCUGUAAGACUGGGAUAACACCGGGAAACCGGUGCUAAUACCGGAUAAUCCUUUUUCUCUCAUGAGGAAAAGCUGAAAGUCGGUUUCGGCUGACACUUACAGAUGGGCCCGCGGCGCAUUAGCUAGUUGGUGAGGUAACGGCUCACCAAGGCGACGAUGCGUAGCCGACCUGAGAGGGUGAUCGGACACACUGGGACUGAGACAUGGCCCAGACUCCUACGGGAGGCAGAAGUAGGGAAUCUUCCACAAUGGACGAAAGUCUGAUGGAGCAAUGCCGCGUGAGCGAUGAAGGCCUUCGGGUCGUAAAGCUCUGUUAUUAGGGAAGAACAAGUACCGGAGUAACUGCCGGUACCUUGACGGUACCUAACCAGAAAGCCACGGCUAACUACGUGCCAGCCGCCGCGGUAA